ACGCUCUCAGGGCCGCACCUGGAGAGUUUCCAGUACUCUACCAUUCUCGACUGCAGGAGGGAGAGUCAAGCAGAGGCCUACCCAUUCCAUUCCUAGCUUGGACAGUGGCUAGUGAGUGGAAGGCCAUCUGCUACAAGU
rfam:Ornithorhynchus anatinus chromosome X5, whole genome shotgun sequence.